rnacentral:rRNA from 1 species
AACGUAGGGAGACAAACGUUAUCCGGAGUUACUGGGCGUAAAGGGCGUGUAGGUGGUAUCGUAAGUCUGCGUGAAAUUUCUCGGCUUAACCGAGGCAGGUCGUCGGAUACUGCGGGAACUAGAGGACGGUAGAGGGCGUGUGGAAAUUCCGGGGUGUAGUGGUGAAAAUGCGUAGAGAUCCGGAGGAACACCAGUGGCGAAGG